rnacentral:rRNA from 1 species
ACUCCUACGGGAGGCAGCAGUGGGGAAUUUUGCGCAAUGGGGGAAACCCUGACGCAGCAACGCCGCGUGAGUGAUGAAGGCCUUCGGGUCGUAAAGCUCUGUCAGAGGGGAAGAAAUGCAGGGUGCUAAUAUCGCUUCUGCUUGACGGUACCCUCAAAGGAAGCACCGGCUAACUCCGUGCCAGCAGCCGCGGUAAUACGGAGGGUGCGAGCGUUGUUCGGAAUUAUUGGGCGUAAAGCGCGUGUAGGCGGUUUGUUAAGUCUGAUGUGAAAGCCCCGGGCUCAACCUGGGAAGUGCAUUGGAAACUGGCAGACUUGAAUACGGGAGAGGGCAGUGGAAUUCCUAGUGUAGGAGUGAAAUCCGUAGAUAUUAGGAGGAACACCGGUGGCGAAGGCGGCUGCCUGGACCGAUAUUGACGCUGAGACGCGAAAGCGUGGGGAGCAAACAGGAUUAGAUACCCUGGUAGUCCACGCCGUAAACGAUGAGAACUAGGUGUCGCGGGUA